rnacentral:tRNA from 1 species
GUAGCUCAGUGGUAGAGCGCUUGUCUUGCAUGUAUGAGGCCCUGAGUUUGAUUCCUCAGC